AUUGAACGCUGGCGGCAUGCCUUACACAUGCCAGUCGAACGGUAACAGGUCUUCGGAUGCUGACGAGUGGCGAACGGGUGAGUAAUACAUCGGAACGUGCCCGAUCGUGGGGGAUAACGAAGCGAAAGCUUUGCUAAUACCGCAUAAGAUCUACGGAUGAAAGCAGGGGACCGCAAGGCCUUGCGCGAACGGAGCGGCCGAUGGCAGAUUAGGUAGUUGGUGGGAUAAAAGCUUACCAAGCCGACGAUCUGUAGCUGGUCUGAGAGGACGACCAGCCACACUGGGACUGAGACACGGCCCAGACUCCUACGGGAGGCAGCAGUGGGGAAUUUUGGACAAUGGGCGAAAGCCUGAUCCGGCCAUGCCGCGUGCAGGAUGAAGGCCUUCGGGUUGUAAACUGCUUUUGUACGGAACGAAAAGACUCUGGUUAAUACCUGGGGUCCAUGACGGUACCGUAAGAAUAAGCACCGGCUAACUACGUG
rnacentral:rRNA from 1 species